rnacentral:rRNA from 1 species
GAACUUAAGCAUAUCAAUAAGCGGAGGAAAAGAAACUAACAAGGAUUCCCCUAGUAACUGCGAGUGAAGCGGGAAAAGCUCAAAUUUAAAAUCUGGCGUGCCUCUGGUCGUCCGAGUUGUAGUUUAGAGAAGCGUUUUCUGUGUUGGACCGUGUAUAAGUCUCUUGGAACAGGGCGUCGUAGAGGGUGAGAAUCCCGUCUUUGACACGGACUACCAAUGCUUUGUGAUACGCUCUCAAAGAGUCGAGUUGUUUGGGAAUGCAGCUCAAAAUGGGUGGUAAAUUCCAUCUAAAGCUAAAUAUAGGCGAGAGACCGAUAGCGAACAAGUACCGUGAGGGAAAGAUGAAAAGCACUUUGGAAAGAGAGUUAAACAGUACGUGAAAUUGCUGAAAGGGAAACGCUUGAAGUCAGUCACGUCUGCCAGGACUCAGCCUUGCUUCUGCUUGGUGUACUUUCUGGUUGGAUGGGCCAACAUCGAUUUCGACCGUUGGAGAAAGGCUUUGGGAAUGUGGCACCUUCGGGUGUGUUAUAGCCCUUUGUCGUAUACAACGGUUGGGAUCGAGGACUGCAGCAUGCCUUCAUGGCCGGGGUUCGCCCACGUACAUGCUUAGGAUGUUGGCAUAAUGGCUUUAAGCGACCCGUCUUGAAACACGGACCAAGGAGUCUAACAUGCCUGCGAGUGUUUGGGUGGAAAACCCAUGCGCGUAAUGAAAGUGAUAGCUGAGAUCCUCUCAUCAGGAGCAUCAGCGCCUGGACUUGAUCUACGGAGACGGUUCUACGGUAGAGCAUGUAUGUUGGGACCCGAAA